GACGAACGCUGGCGGCGUGCCUAAUACAUGCAAGUAGAACGCACAGUUUAUACCGUAGCUUGCUACACCAUAGACUGUGAGUUGCGAACGGGUGAGUAACGCGUAGGUAACCUGCCUGGUAGCGGGGGAUAACUAUUGGAAACGAUAGCUAAUACCGCAUAAUAUUAAUUAUUGCAUGAUAAUUAAUUGAAAGGUGCAAUUGCACCACUACCAGAUGGACCUGCGUUGUAUUAGCUAGUAGGUGAGGUAACGGCUCACCUAGGCGACGAUACAUAGCCGACCUGAGAGGGUGAUCGGCCACACUGGGACGGAGACACGGCCCAGACUCCUACGGGAGGCAGCAGUAGGGGAUCUUCGGCAAUGGACGAAAGUCUGACCGAGCAACGCCGCGUGAGUGAAGAAGGUUUUCGGAUCGUAAAGCUCUGUUGUAAGAGAAGAACGGGUGUGAGAGUGGAAAGUUCACACUGUGACGGUAUCUUACCAGAAAGGGACGGCUAACUACGUG
rnacentral:rRNA from 1 species